rnacentral:rRNA from 1 species
GCCAUGCAAGUGGCUACAUUAACCCGACAGUUUAAAUAAGUGUUCAAUGCUAUCACGCAUCUAUGCAAUGCAUACACGCAUAAUACACACACACACACACACACAAUUGUGCCGCUGCAUCGCACGAAUUUUUGUUUACGAUAGUAACAAAAUUUCAGCGUGAAUCACCAUACAUACGCACAUAGUGAAUCACAGCGAAAUUUUACAUUUCAACGUAUCACUUACRCAACUGCAGACAGCUGCUUAAUACAGUCACACUUGUCUUGACUUGGCACACCCACACACACACACACGAUUUCUCUGUAUCGCAUAUUCAUACAAGAAGACAAUUGCGCUACACCGUGACACUUUUUAUCUUUUUUAUGGAUAACUCAGGAGAAAGUUUGGCUAAUACGUACGAGUACACACACACACACACACACACACUCAUAUAUACACUACUCAGCACUCAAUGRUAAACCUUGAUUUACGUGUAUUCUUACGCGUCUAUCAGUUAUAAAGUUUAACCGCAACAUGAGAGGCAUUGAGCACGCACGUGUAAUGUGAAUWUAUUCACGUUACACAUCUACGCUGAGCAGACUUUGCGAAGUUCACUUUUGCGAAGCAUGUCAUACAAGCAUCUACAGCAUCAAGUCACAGGGUUGGCAAGUGUAUUUUUGAACCUUCAAGGCAGUCACGCAUACGGAAGAGUAGUUUCUGAUCCCAUAGAAGGAGCACCGUACAAUGAGAGACCGCUCUUAGUUCUAAGGAACGCAGCAGGCGCGUAAAUUGCCCAAUGCUAGUACCCUACAAUCAUACUAUAUUGCAAUUUACUAUUAUACGCAUUACGACACUAUAUAUCAUUUUACUCUGCCAUACACACACACACACACACACAUCCUUGUUCACACGCGUAAAGUAAAUUAAUAUCAUAUACCAGUAUAUUUUAUUUUACUGAGGCAGUGACAAGCUGUAACGGUUGAGUAUAAAAAUGACGAGUGUCUGGCAUUGCCGCUCUCUCGGGAGCUUGGCAAGUUGCCGACGCUUUGUGUGCUCAAUUGGAAUGCGGUGAGUUUAAGCAACUCAGAACCUUUUAACGGUGUUACGUAAAAAUUUCACUGUUGAUGUAUCUGAAUUUCAGGUGGAAGGCAAGUCUGGUGCNNNNNNCCGCGGUAAUACCAGCUCCACUGGCCUAUACAUCAUUGUUGCGGUUAAGAGGCUCGUAGUUGGAUUGAACUGCAAUAUGAAUUUAUAUCGCUAAUAAAUUCUAUAUUUCAGUACUUACGUAUAUUAUAUAAUAUAUAUAUGCACACAUAUAUUUUCUCUCGCGAGAGUCGAGAAUAUAUAAUAUAUAUAUUAUGCACAUAUGCGUUCGACGCUGUUAAUUACACAAAUAUACGCGUCUUGUAUAUUUCAGCGACAAAUUUUUUUCUGCGAUACGCAUACACACACACACACACACACUUAUACGUAACGCGCAUACGAGAAAUUUUUGUCGCUAGUAUUUAUUCGCAAUACACACACACUCAUAUUUCAACACUGUGAACAAAUCAGAGUGUAUCAAACAUGUCGUUUUGGAAUGUGCAUUGAAUGUCWUAUCAUGGGAUGUUGCACUUUCAUACCGGUUAAAGAUUUACGUCUUCGAUCGCGACACACGCACACAUGUUACGCAUAAACACACACACACGCUUCCGCGUAAUUUACAAGAUCGCUAAAUAUUUCUUUAACGGUUAAAAAUGUCGAUGGGGAUAGUUGGAGUCAACAGUACUGCUGGGCGAGAGGUGAAAUUCAUUGACCCUAGCAAGACUACCAAAAGCGAAAGCAGUUGGCUGGGCUAUACUCUUUUGUGAUUAUAUAUGUAUAUACACGCAUACCGUAUAUAUCACAUUUUUUUUUUUAUGCGACACACACACACACACUCGCGUAUAAAAAAAUACCUUUUUAUGCGACACACACACACACGCAUAAAAAAUAUAUACACACACGCGCAAUAUGUAAUAUAUCAAUACACUUUACAAUGAGGAACGAAGGUUGGGGGAUCAAAGAGGAUCAGAUACCCUUGUCGUCCCAUUAAUUACAUCAAACGAUGGGCUCUCAAUUGCAUUUAUUCACAAUAAAUUGCAAAUUUCCUCAGCCUACAAAAUUUAUUCGGCUUGAGCUCGUGAUUCUAUCACGCUCGCCUAUAGUAUUUUUUCGUAUGGUCUCGAUGGACGUUUCAUUUAUUUAUAUUUUUUGCGUGUAAGCAUUAUGUUAUUCUUUGAAACAUAAGAAUGCAUUGCGUGCACUUGAUUUUCGGAGCUUUGCGCUCAAUUCUGGUGAGAUGUAAGCACUAUGUUAUUCUGCCCGUAUCCGUAUGUGUUAACUCACAUUUCGCUGAUAUCCGUGUGCAGUAUUUAACAAUUUCGGUGUGAAGCACGCUUUAGGCACGCGCUUACUGCAGAAAUGUCUGAGACAUUCCCCUCCGGGGGUAGUAUGCACGCAAGUGUGAAACUUGAAGGAAUUGACGGAAGGGCACCACAAGAACGCGUGGAGCAUGUGGCUUAAUUUGACUCAACGCGGGAAAUCUUACCGGGUCCGGACACACUGAGGAUUGACAGGCAAUAUUAAUAUAUACUUUCUCUCUCGCACUCUCACGAGUGUGUGUGCUGUAAAGUCAUAUAUUAUGUUAAAUAUGCUAGUCCUUUCAUGAUUAUGUGAUAGGUGGUGCAUGGCCGUUCUUAGUUCGUGGAGUGAUCUGUCUGCCUAAUUGCGUUUCACUAAGGGCCUAUACAAUUACGUAUGUUGUUAUUGCACUUUGACCCCUCCUUCGCGGGUGCGUGUGUCUUUGACUGCUUCAACUCAUACAAUUAGGUCCUGAAAGCAACGAACGUGACCGCAACCUCUUGUUGCUUUCGUAUACCCUUAUAACACAGUUAUAUUUUUAUUUUAUGCUUUACCGCAUAUAUACUAAUUUGCUGUGCAAGAAAGCUUUUUAAACUAGAGGGACCGCUGUUAUCUUCUUAAACCAGAGGAAGGUUGCGGCAAUAACAGGUCUGUGAUGCCCUUAGAUGUUCCGGGCUGCACACGUGCUACAAUGAUUAUUGCAGUGAGCAUCUCAUUUAUUAUACACCGCAUGCGCGAGUCCAUUUAUUCAUUUUACCUUCGGGUUAUGCUUUAAAUGUGUAUCUCUGCGCGCGGUAAAGCCUGCUUCGAAAGUAAGUGGGUAAUCAAUUAGAAGUAAUGAUUUCCUUUUUUUUCUGCACACAUAUAUACGGCAGCUAUACCCGGGUAACCUUGUUGUUACUUUUGUGCGUAUAGUUGUACCCUUUUUCCGUAUGUGCGAUUGUCAAUUCAUGGUGGGGACAGACCAUUGUUAAUUGUUGGUCUCGGUCUUAACUAGGAAUGCCUUGUACGGGUCUUUGGUUCAACAAACCACCCGGAAUACGUCCCUGCCCUUUGUACACACCGCCCGUCGCUCUUACCGAUGGACUUCUCUGUGAGUUUGAGGGACUGGGAACGCAUUGCGUAUAUCUUAUGCGCUCUGCACACCUAUGGAAACUUAAACGAACAGUGUGGUCUAAAGGAAAGAGAAGUCGUAACAAGGCAUCAGUAGGUGAACCU